GUCUCAAAGAUUAAGCCAUGCAUGUCUAAGUAUAAGCAAUCUAUACGGUGAAACUGCGAAUGGCUCAUUAAAUCAGUUAUCGUUUAUUUGAUAGUACCUUACUACAUGGAUAACCGUGGUAAUUCUAGAGCUAAUACAUGCUAAAAACCCCGACUUCGGAAGGGGUGUAUUUAUUAGAUAAAAAACCAGCGCCCUUCGGGGCUCCUUGGUGAUUCAUAAUAACUCAACGAAUCGCAUGGCCUUGCGCCGGCGAUGGUUCAUUCAAAUUUCUGCCCUAUCAACUUUCGAUGGUAGGAUAGUGGCCUACCAUGGUAUCAACGGGUAACGGGGAAUUAGGGUUCUAUUCCGGAGAGGGAGCCUGAGAAACGGCUACCACAUCCAAGGAAGGCAGCAGGCGCGCAAAUUACCCAAUCCCGACACGGGGAGGUAGUGACAAUAAAUACUGAUACAGGGCUCUUUCGGGUCUUGUAAUUGGAAUGAGUACAAUUUAAAUCCCUUAACGAGGAACAAUUGGAGGGCAAGUCUGGUGCCAGCAGCCGCGGUAAUUCCAGCUCCAAUAGCGUAUAUUAAAGUUGUUGCAGUUAAAAAGCUCGUAGUUGAACCUUGGGCCUGGCUGGCCGGUCCGCCUCACCGCGUGUACUGGUCCGGCCGGGCCUUUCCUUCUGGGGAGCCGCAUGCCCUUCACUGGGCGUGCCGGGGAACCAGGACUUUUACUUUGAAAAAAUUAGAGUGUUCAAAGCAGGCCUUUGCUCGAAUACAUUAGCAUGGAAUAAUAGAAUAGGA
rnacentral:rRNA from 1 species